UACGUAGGGGGCAAGCGUUGUCCGGAUUUAUUGGGCGUAAAGAGCGUGUAGGCGGCCAUACAGGUCCGUUGUGAAAACUGGAGGCUUAACCUCCAGACGUCGAUGGAAACCGUAUGGCUAGAGUCCGGAAGAGGAGAGUGGAAUUCCCGGUGUAGCGGUGAAAUGCGCAGAUAUCGGGAAGAACACCUAUGGCGAAGGCAGCUCUCUGGGACGGUACUGACGCUGAGACGCGAAAGCGUGGGGAGCGAACAGG
rnacentral:rRNA from 1 species